AGAAUUUUCAUUUCCAGUGAGAUCCCAGGUGAUGUUGAUGCUCCAGGGACCCCAUUUUGAGAACCUGUACACUAAAUCCAAGUUUUCAGCCAGUUAGUUCAUUAGAAUGUCCCUGGAGCCUAUAAAACAAGUUCCCUGGACCACCCCCAGAGGUUCCAGUCAGUCUGAGCAGGACAGCUGUCUGGAGACAUCAUUCUUCAAAAAUUUUGCUGGGUGUCACCUUCACCACAGCCCAGUUCUGCGACAUUGGACAUGUUGCUAGCCGCUGUCUUCUCACCUGUGCAAGGACCAUCAUGUUCACCAUUUGCCAGAUCUCAGUGGGGUGUGCAUGUCCUUCAUAUUUGAUCAAUGGAAACUAUGAAGGACAGUCCAUGAAGACCGUGCAAUGACGACACUUGCUCUGAAGGGAUGAUAUGAGUCUGAAUUCCUGCUGUCAGAAUAAACAGAAAGUCCUUCACUGUUUGAUUAUCCAGCAAGAAAUUCAUGG